AUCUCAGACUUCACAUGAUGAAAACUUGCUUUUAACCUUUGCCUUAAACAGCAUGUCCCUCUCCUGACCUGGGAGCACCCUUACUUCAUGGUGGCCUUUACUCCCCAAUGUUGAACACAUCAGCAGUAUUCUCACAUGUUACCUAAGGUAUUUUUUCUCUUAUAUCCUUUCUCAAGACACCACUGUCUCUUCUACCUCCACCACUGGUCUGCAAUCUACUUCCCCCUAGUGAUGUCAGGUGGGCCAUGCCUUUCCCCCGUGUGACAGUGGGACCCGGCUUCUCACAGCCCAUGGAUGUGGCUCCUGUCUCCCUUUCCUACCUCACCCUACACUGCUUUGGAAUUAUCUCAGCAGGCCGCCACUCCACUCCUAUUUCCAAGGGCACAGGAGGCUUCUCCACCCUUUGCGUGGCCAGCAUUUCUGAUCGUGAGGUUUCUUAUCAGUUGUCACCAGCCCUGGGGCCUCCUCAGCCACUUACCAAGCACAGGUCCUCAUCCUGGCUAUGCCCCAACCCCCAGCUGUCUCUUCAUCCCUGAAUGAUGCCUCCUGUAUUCAGAAAUUAUUUAAAAGAUACAGUUUGGAAAAUGUCUGUCAUUCUGGACGUAAAUGCUUUUAAGACAAUGGCAUAUGUGUCUGGCCCAUACCCCUCUCUCUCCUGUGCCUAGGUUAGCACAAUCCACAUGGUAGGUAGGGAUGGAAACACGCUAUGAUAUUAUAGACAUCAGUGAAGGAAGGUGGGUAUGACAGACAGCUAAUUAAAAGUGACAUCUCCCUUGUCAUUGGAGGACACAGGCUCAGCCAUUUUUCCAUACUCCAAAGAGUAAACUUGGUGUUAACCGUUUCCUCUUUCCUGAUCAUCCACAUUGCCUUUCAGAGCCCACGUGUGCCCUCCCAGGCCCCAGAUACUGGGAGAAAUGCAUUUCCACCUCGAGAAUGACAGUUUCCAGCUCUGUCCUCUGGGCACAGACCCAUCCUCAGAGUCCUGUGGGUUUGUCUGGGCACAGAAACGACAAGACCUUCACUGUUCCUGGUGGCUUUUGUCGCUCUGUUUUCUUGCGCGCUUGGUGGCUUGCUCCUAACUCACAGCCAAUCACCGCACUGCCAGAUGGUGCGGAAGAUUUACCGGAAUUUCGUUUUCAAAUAAACCACAGGCUUGGAUGAGCUAAUGCUGUUCCACAUAAAAAAGCCACAAAACUGGACAAAUUAACGUUGUUUCAAGAAAAGAAACUUGUCGAAGCCAUCGACUUUGCCUGUCUCAAAUGACUGCCCUGAGACCUACGAGCAAGAGGUCCUUCCUGUAGCAGCCCAGCACACGAAGAGACCAGGAAGCCCCUUUCUGUCAUCACUGUCUCCACAGAACAACGUGAAUGUGCUUUCAUUCCCCUGCUCAGCCAAAAAUGUCUCUGUCAAGUUCACAUGCUGACCCCAAGCACCCACGGGUGGAAUAUUUCCUUCCAUCCUGUCAGCACCACAGUCUCUACAAAUGCUGACUGCCUGGGACGUAGGCUCCAAACCCAGAAAGUCCUCCACAGCAGCUCAGCAGAAGGGCCCGGUGCAGGAAGACUAGCUGGCCAGUAUACCUCAGCAGCGGUGGCAAGACGGCCUCUGGCGACAGGGCUCUUGAGACCAGAGUCCUAGACCUCACUGCUUCAUAGCACUGAUGUCACAGACAGGUUGUAAGCCUGUCAAGAACAUGGAAACAGCAGUAAAGCUCUCAUAAGAUGAAGCCCGAGCAAAUGGGUAAAGUCCUACGGCACUGUGCCCAAUGCCCAUCUGCGCCCCAGCCCACAGGAUGGCUCCGUUCAGUGGAGGUAGACUUUUCGGUGAACUCGUCUGGAAACUUCCUCACAGCGUGCCCAGAGGUUUGUCUCCUAUGUGAUUUUACAGCCUGUCCCGUUGAUAAUAUUAACCACCACAUUGUUCAUCAGGCAAGCCACCCUGGACAUACCCACCUGCGGUAACAUCAAACAGACCGGGCCAGGUUCCCAAGAGGCCCCGCACGCCCCUCCUGAUUUGCAGGGGCUUACGGUGGAGAGACGGCGAAGUCGCUGGCUUCAUGACCACAUUUGGAAAAGCAUGACGGUGUGGAGAAGAGGGCUGUCGUACGGAAGCAUUUCCUGACGUAAAUUUGUUUGGAUUUGGAUGAAGCAACUGAAGGGAGAGAAAUCCACUCUUUCUGCUCCCUCACCCUGACCGUGACUCAUUACUUAGCACAGACCAAAUGGUUCCCCACCUCCCAGGGAGGACGCUCUGAGCCCAUUACAUAAGUGGCUUCCACAGCUGCUGCUGGUAAUUGAAAGUGAAGCUCUUCUGAUGUGGGGCCUGCUGGGAGUGGCGUGACUCUUUCCUCACCCCGUGAUACCAUCUUUACGGGAGAGGCUCCCAGAGCCAGGGUGUGGUGUGUGUGUCGGGGGUGUUCUGCACAGUAGGCCUGACUUCUGAAUAGCUUGUGCUUUCUGCCUUGUUAAAACGUGGCCCUUCCACGUCGUCGUCUCUGAUCUUAAUCUCCCAAACGAGCUGGAGCUGAGCUUCAUGAGGCAGGGUUUGCCUGGCUCAGCAAAGCCCAGGAGGAAAUGCGGCUUGGGGUUUCUAUGCCCAGAGACCCACCCAAGUAGGACCACCCAGGAACACUGUCUCUGGGCAAGAAGUUGCAAGAGCUGUGCUUACGUAAAAGAUCUCGGGAGAGGGAUCCUGGACAUCGGAGCUGACUUGCAAGGCCCAGGGCAAAGGAGACUGGGUCGAUCUGGUUCUGGAAGGAAGUGACUAAAUGACUCUUGAAAAACCUAGGGGAUCCUGUCUAGACCCCACCAUCCUGGCUUCCACACUGGUGUUGCCAGGGAGUUUCUGUUAAGGAGUGUUAUGGGAAGCCAAACAAACUCUGACGUAUGUUCACUUCCAGGACCUAUUUAAUGCAGAGAUGGUGGGCUGUAAGACCCUUGGAAACCCAUGCCCACAGGGGAAGUCUGCCUGCUGGGAUACCCAGACUGAAGGUUAGCUAAGAUCAGGCACCAUUUCCAGUUCCCUAGCAAGACCCUGUUUCACUGGACCUCAGUGUACACUUCAGCUUAACUGCGGGAUAGCAGUAGGGGCAGGGAAAGGCAAUUUUAGAUGAAGAAGCACAUUGAACACUGGCUUAGCAGUGCUGGGGGUGGGGUGCUUCAAGAAGAAUGUUCCAGAACACAUCCCAACACACAGAGACUGCGGUCCUAGAGCUGACUGCCCCGUGACUCUCCGGAAGGCUGGUGAAAUGGGUACUUUUGUAAAAAGGGGAGAGAAGGGCACUACUGGAUCAGCUGUUGCCGGGGUUUACAGGAUAGAGAAAGACCCCAGCCUCUUGACAGCAAUUGACACAGCGCUCUGGGCUUACCAGUUCCCUUCUUGGUUUGUUGACAUCUGACUCUAUAAUGACACAGGCCCAGGUUCUUGAGAGAAAUAGCAGUAAGGUCAUGAGGGGAGCCUCAUGUAGUAUGACUGGAGCCCUUACAGGAGAAGGUAUCAAAGAAGGAAGGCUAUGCAGUGAUAUGGGGUGCCCUGCCAUCUGCAAGCCAGGCAGAGGGGUUGCCAGAGAAACCUACAGGCUGGCCCCUGGGUCUCAGACUGAAGCCUACAGAGCUGUGAGAUAUUGGGUCUAAUUUCUGGCAUGAGCCACUGGUAUAGGGCUCUUCCUUUGGGGCAGCAGUGCAGAGAGUGACACUCGGUGAUGCAGUAACCACCACAAAACUGGGGCCUGGGGUCUUUGGCUGUUCUCCCUGGCAUGAGGCCUAGACCUCCCUUGGAUGUUCUCAGAAGACAUAUAUGAGGUCUGCGGAGUCUUCCUCCCAGCUAUGGUCCCCCAAGGAAGGAAGGGGGUCAAGACUGCUCUAGUCAACUUGAUGGGGGAAAAGUAAAGAGACAGCAAGGCCUAGAAGGAAGUGAGGGUCUUCUGGAAGCCCUCAGCUGGAAACAGUUGUGUGAGAUUUCAGUGUUCUUUGGUGUCUGCCCUCCCUAGAGCAGUGGCGUCAUAGGUGUCCUCCUAUGGGUAAAAAGAGUCUGAGUUCAAGAUGUCUUUCAAAAUGUACAGAGUAAAAGGCCCUGGGCUUCUCUGGACAUGUCCCGAAGUACUCUGACCUAAGCCCUGCCCCAUGUGGUAGGGCCCAAGAGAAACUUUUAGUACCAUCACUGCGUUGGAGAAAAAAGAAACAGAAAACAGAAAAAUGUUAAGAAAACAGAGCCACCACCGUCGACUUAGGGCAUGCACCACUAUCAAGGUAAAGUGGGCCGUAAAGAAACAAUUAGAUCCUAAGCCUAUAGAUACCAGCUAAAUCCAGCUGUAACUGCCUCGUAAACUUGGAACUUCCGACACAGCCUCAAGAACCCACUCUCUCCCACGCGCUGACGGUGUGCCUGGCCUUGCGCCAGUCGCGAAGCUGGAAACUUCCCGACUUAAACAACAUCUGGGUGUUUCUGCAUCCUCUGAGCUGCGCAUGAGGGUUGAAAGUUUAAUAAAUGUUUGCUUCUCUCA
rnacentral:sRNA from 1 species